CAUCUUUCGCUAAUGGCUUUUUAGGCAACGACAAACCAAAAUCUCGACAUGUUUCAAAAAGGGAAGAACGUCAACAACAAUCAGUGGUUGGCACUCCAGAUUAUUUGGCACCCGAAAUACUUCUGGGCAUGGGACAUGGUACAACUGCAGAUUGGUGGUCGGUGGGUGUCAUACUUUAUGAGCUUCUCGUGGGUGUUCCACCUUUUAAUGCAGAACAUCCACAGCAAAUUUUUGAUAACAUAAUUAACAGAGACAUACAAUGGCCAAAGUAUCCUGAGGAGAUCAGCUAUGAGGCAUAUGCUUUGAUGAAUAAGUAAGCAUUAUCAAAGCUGAUAUGUAUUUUAUAGAUCUCUAAAAGACAUUAUACAACUUAACUUCAAAAGUAAUUAAAUGCUAACUCUAGACACCAAAGUCAUGGUAAAAAUUGAUAUGAGAAGCCAGAGGGUUUGCUGAAUAUGUUGAUAGGAGAGCAUGCUGACUACUGGUAUACAUACUGAAAGAUAAAGAGCAU